UAUAUUGACAUAAAUGUUUUUGAUGGUGUGGAUUUUUAAAAUUGCUCAUUUUUUCAGGGCAACAUUAGGGUGUGUGUGCAUGUGUUGUCAAGCUGCAGCAACAGCAAAGGACAGAGCAAACAGCUGGGAAGGGUUUUGGAAAAAUAAUGUCUCAGUGGUCCAAAUAGAGCAGUGUGUCUGACUAGACCACCUUCUGAGGAAUACAGCAGGAGCUGCCACAACUGCACGAAGGAGAACCUGGAUACCAGUAUGAAUGUAUGAUUCCUCAUCUCUGAGGCUUUGGGUGUGGUGAUACAAAUUGCAGAUCCACAGUGUAAAAGCAUAUGGCACACCAUGCUGGCUGUAUUGUAUCCUGGAUGAGAAGGAGAUGCCACAGUAGGCCCUGCUUUUAUUCUUAUAUUUGUCUGGAGUUUGGUCAUGGAUAGAUUCUUUUUCUGUAAAAGCAAAGUUAAGAACUAUAGUUUCAGUGGAUUAUUUUCUCUAAUAAAUUUAGGGAUGGUGUCAGGCUGUAAGGAGUAAAAAUUUGCUUUAUUUCUCAUGCUUAUUGAAGAUUGGGAUGGGAUUUCUCUCCGCUUGUUGAUUAUAUUAAACUGCAUAUUUAGGAACUCUGAAAG
ensembl:lncRNA